rnacentral:rRNA from 1 species
CAACCUGCCCACCACUUGGGGAUAACCUUGCGAAAGUAAGACUAAUACCCAAUGACGUCUCUAGAAGACAUCUGAAAGAGAUUAAAGAUUUAUCGGUGAUGGAUGGGGAUGCGUCUGAUUAGCUUGUUGGCGGGGUAACGGCCCACCAAGGCGACGAUCAGUAGGGGUUCUGAGAGGAGGGUCCCCCACAUUGGAACUGAGACACGGUCCAAACUCCUACGGGAGGCAGCAGUGAGGAAUAUUGGUCAAUGGGCGAGAGCCUGAACCAGCCAAGUAGCGUGCAGGAUGACGGCCCUAUGGGUUGUAAACUGCUUUUAUAAGGGAAUAAAGUGAGUCUCGUGAGACUUUUUGCAUGUACCUUAUGAAUAAGGACCGGCUAAUUCCGUGCCAGCAGCCGCGGUAAUACGGAAGGUCCGGGCGUUAUCCGGAUUUAUUGGGUUUAAAGGGGGCGUAGGCCGGAGAUUAAGCGUGUUGUGAAAUGUAGACGCUCAACGUCUGCACUGCAGCGCGAACUGGUUUCCUUGAGUACGCACAAAGUGGGCGGAAUUCGUGGUGUAGCGGUGAAAUGCUUANAUAUCACGAANANNUCCNNUNG